UUAAGUUCAGCGGGUAGUCCUACCUGAUUUGAGGCCAGAGUCAAAGUAAUUGUCCGAAGACGAUUAGAAGCAAACUUCACAAGUCUUACCAGCGAAACUUAUUACGCCAGACGACAUUGUUAAACUCGCUAACUCCUUUAAGGCGAGCCAGAGACUGGCAACACCCAAAUCCAAGCCAUUAAGAAACCCUAAUGGUUGAG
rnacentral:misc_RNA from 1 species